UUCCGCUCUCCCGGCGCGGCCCAGGAGAAAACACCGCGUCCCGCCCCGCUGCUGCCGGGAGGAACAGUGAUGCGGUGGGCUCUGUUUGCACGACUUCGGUGAAAAACUGUCUGCGAUGAAAGUGCAGCCGUGGAGCGGAGCGGCGCGCAGAGCGCUCCGGGGGAAGCUCAGACUGCAGUCCGUGCGCUCUGUGCUGCUGCUGCAAAACCGCCGUGAGCGGCGGCACGAGGGGGGGCACUGACAGCACACCACGGUGACACCGCCCUGUGGGGCGGGGGGGGAUGGGGAUCCAGGGGUAUGGGGUUGGGUUUGGGGUCUGGGAGGUGAUGGGGAUCCAGGGGUAUGGGGUUGGGUUUGGGGUCUUGGAGGUGAUGGGGAUCCAGGGGUAUGGGGUUGGGUUUGGGGUCUGGGAGGUGAUGGGGAUCCAGGGAUAUGGGGUUGGGUUUGGGGUCUGGGAGGUGAUGGGGAUCCAGGGAUAUGGGGUUGGGUUUGGGGUCUGGGAGGUGAUGGGGAUCCAGGGAUAUGGGGUUGGGUUUGGGGUCUGGGAGGUGAUGGGGAUCCAGGGAUAUGGGGUUGGGUUUGGGGUCUGGGAGGUGAUGGGGAUCCAGGGAUAUGGGGUUAGGUUUGGGGCCUGGGAGGUGAUGGGGAUCCAGGGAUAUGGGGUUGGGUUUGGGGUCUGGGAGGUGAUGGGGAUCCAGGGGUAUGGGGUUAGGUUUGGGGUCUGGGAGGUGAUGGGGAUCCAGGGAUAUGGGGUUAGGUUUGGGGUCUGGGAGGUGAUGGGGAUCCAGGGAUAUGGGGUUAGGUUUGGGGUCUGGGAGGUGAUGGGGAUCCAGGGAUAUGGGGUUAGGUUUGGGGUCUGGGAGGUGAUGGGGAUCCAGGGAUAUGGGGUUGGGUUUGGCACUGGGAGGUGAUGGGGAUCCAGGGGUAUGGGGUUGGGUUUGGGGUCUGGGAGGUGAUGCUGAGCUGCGGGUGCUGGGGGAGCAGUCAGCCUCGCAUGGCCGCGUGGUGGGAUCUGUGCCGGAGCCCUAUUUGUAGUACAGCACACAAUGGGUGAUGGGCCGUCGGUGAUGAGCGACGGGAGAUGAGGGGGGGAUGAUGGGUUGUGGGAUGUCA
ensembl:lncRNA